AACGAACGCUGGCGGCAGGCCUAACACAUGCAAGUCGAACGCCCUAGCAAUAGGGAGUGGCAGACGGGUGAGUAACACGUGGGAACCUUCCCUAUAGUACGGAAUAGCCCAGGGAAACUUGGAGUAAUACCGUAUACGCCCGAGAGGGGAAAGAUUUAUCGCUAUAGGAUGGGCCCGCGUUGGAUUAGCUAGUUGGUGGGGUAACGGCCCACCAAGGCAACGAUCCAUAGCUGGUCUGAGAGGAUGAUCAGCCACACUGGGACUGAGACACGGCCCAGACUCCUACGGGAGGCAGCAGUGGGGAAUAUUGGACAAUGGGCGCAAGCCUGAUCCAGCCAUGCCGCGUGAGUGACGAAGGUCUUCGGAUUGUAAAGCUCUUUUGGCGGGGACGAUAAUGACGGUACCCGCAGAAUAAGCCCCGGCUAACUUCGUGCCAGCAGCCGCGGUAAGUGACGUCAGA
rnacentral:rRNA from 1 species